UACAGAGGUCUCAACCGUUGUUCGGAUUCAUUGGGCGUAAAGGGUGUGUAGGUGGCGCCGUAAGUCGGGUGUGAAAUUUCGGAGCUUAACUCCGAAACUGCAUUCGAUACUGCGGUGCUUGAGGACUGGAGAGGAGACUGGAAUUCAUGGUGUAGCAGUGAAAUGCGUAGAGAUCAUGAGGAAGACCAGUGGCGAAGGCGGCUCACUGGCCCGGUACUGACGCUGAGGCACGAAAGCGUGGGGAGCAAACAGG
rnacentral:rRNA from 1 species